rnacentral:rRNA from 1 species
AGAGUUUGAUCCCUGGCUACAGAACGAACGCUGGCGGCAGGCUUAACACAUGCAAGUCGAACGCCCCGCAAGGGGGAGUGGCAGACGGGUGAGUAACGCGUGGGAAUCUACCCAGUUCUACGGAACAACUGAGGGAAACUUCAGCUAAUACCGUAUACGCCCUACGGGGGAAAGAUUUAUCGGAAUUGGAUGAGCCCGCGUUGGAUUAGCUAGUUGGUGAGGUAACGGCUCACCAAGGCGACGAUCCAUAGCUGGUCUGAGAGGAUGAUCAGCCACACUGGGACUGAGACACGGCCCAGACUCCUACGGGAGGCAGCAGUGGGGAAUAUUGGACAAUGGGCGCAAGCCUGAUCCAGCCAUGCCGCGUGAGUGAUGAAGGCCUUAGGGUUGUAAAGCUCUUUCAGUGGGGACGAUAAUGACGGUACCCACAGAAGAAGCCCCGGCUAACUUCGUG